CUCAAAGUGAAAGACAUGCUGGAAAAUAUGAAAUGCCGGUGGCCUUGAGCGGUGCUUUUCUAAAAACAGGACAAGGGUGUGUUAGACAGACCUAGCAACGUCUUUUCCAGUGGAGAUCUUAGAUGUGGAACGUUUGGAUGAAUGAAUCUUGCUGAGCCCAUCAUGUAUCAGGUUUCUUACGAGAAAGGGUAUAAGGACCACCCAUGGAGAGUCACGAGCAUCACCAGCUGGGCUCCAAGGAAGUUUUCUUGGGGGAAGGGCACCCAUCCAUGUGAUGGGAUGUGGUAGUAGGAAGAGGUGUACCCCCAAGGUCCUAUGAGGGUUGUCAGAGCUGCCACUUCAGCUCCCUGAUGGCCGAUGAGGUUCCCGCAGCCUUGUGUGGGAGUCCAAGCUUGGCUUCCAGAAGCCUCCACUGCAUUGUUAUAACUGAUGUCAUAAUUAACUGAGGUGAGACUCUAUUUCCUGUUUUUUUUUUUUUUUUUUUUUUUUUUUUUUUUUUUUAGCCCUGUUUGCUAUAACCUCGGAUAAAUAGCCCCCUAAGCAGCCAUUAGACCAGGAAGCAUUUUUAGGGCCCAUAUCCUGUCCUGGCAGGGAGAUGGAAUCGGAUGAGCU
ensembl:lncRNA